UUUGUGAUGUGAAAUUAUGCAGAUUGAAUGUGCUAUUGCUAUAAAACUUUUGUCCAAACAGUCCAACGAAUGCAGUUCUGAUAUUGCAAAGAAACUUGUAUAUUGCCUUGCAUUGCUUCCGAAAUCAAAAGAAGAUGAAGAAAGCUGGUCUGUGAUGCUGCAGAAGCUCUUGGUUUUGACAAUAGAUAAAUUAAAUUUUUCCUUUCAAGAGAAGAGAGUCAAUUGGGGAUUAGGGUUUUUAACUUUAAUUUGGGGACCAAAUUGAGUCAAAACAGUUUAUGUCGCCACGUCAGCUAGCCGUUGUGCUGACAGCGUGUCACCAACGAGUCCAAGUCAGCUUUUCAGUUGCGCCAGCUGGACGAAAUUGGCCGAAAGGAUGAGUCUGAGUCCCGGAGUGCAACUUUAGGGAUGAAUAUGAAUAAUUUUUAACUUCA